rnacentral:rRNA from 1 species
GACGAACCGUGCGAACGUUAUUCGGAAUCACUGGGCUUAAAGCGCGUGUAGGCGGACCGGCGACGUCUGGUGCUGAAAUCCCCCGGCUCAACCGGGGAAGUGGCACGGAUACGACCGGUCUGGAGGGGGGUAGGGGGCGCCGGAACUUCCGGUGGAGCGGUGAAAUGCGUUGAGAUCGGAAGGAACGCCCGUGGCGAAAAGCGGGCGCCUGGACCCCACCUGACGCUGAGACGCGAAAGCCAGGGGAGCGAACGGG